AGGUGAGGCAUUGGCAGCUGCAGGUGUCAGAAAAGAUGAGCACCUGAGACCAUCUUUGCUUUGGAUCCCGGAUGCUCAUCUUUUCUGACACCUGCAGCUGCCAAUGCCUCACCUUU